ensembl:snRNA U2 U2 spliceosomal RNA
AUAAUUUUUUGGCCUCUUAGCUAAGAUCAAUUGUGGUAUAUGUUCUUACCAGUUUAAUAACUCAUACAUUCUCUAUCCAAGAAUGAUACAGUGAAUGGAUUUUGGGAGUAGGGAGAUGGAAUAGGGGCUUUCCCCAUCUGAUCUAUGCAUUAGCUUGGUAUUACAGUACCUCCAGGAAUGGCAGACACAAA